GCAUUAGUAGCUUAGUGGUAAAAUCCAUCGUUGCUCUCGAUGAGCCCCGUGUUCAAUUCACGGCUGAUGCA